rnacentral:misc_RNA from 1 species
CCAAACAUUAUCUGGAUUCACUCCACCAGGCUCUUACACGCUUAAGCUCAUAAUCAAGGAUGAAAACAAUGACCAAUUGAGUUGCAUUAGCUUUAACUUUAAAAUACAUUUGGGAAAAUUGGUAUCCGAUAAUUGAUUGCCAGUACAAGCUGUGCAUGCUAUUCUAGUUGCAUACAAUCCAAUGCCGAUCAGAUCUCGAGUUUCUUGCUUAUUGUGUUUUUCUUUCUUUACUUGAUUUUCCCUCGUUUUCUUUUCUUGAUCAGAUGUAUGUGUAACCGUGCAACUCUUUUGUGAAUGUCUAUGUCUGUGUUAUAUGUGUUGUAUCCUACUCUGGAAGGGAAAUCCUGUUCUCCUUUGCUUAAUCGAUAUGCCAUAAGGUUUUUUUGCAAACAAGAA